GUAGCUGGCUGAGUUAGUCCCCUUGUUAAAUCCACCGAAUUAAUCGUUGGAUUGCGGGGGAUACUGCUCGGCUAGGGGACGAGAGAGGCAGACGGUAUUUCUGGGGUAGGGGUGAAAUCCUAUAAUCCCAGGAGGACCACCAGUGGCGAAGGCUGUCUGCUAGAACCGCGCCCGACGGUGAGGGAUGAAAGCUGGGGGAGCGAACCGGAUUAGAUACCCGGGUAGUCCCAGCUGUAAACGAUGCAGACUAGGUGUUUGGACGGCCACGUGCCGUUCUAGUGCCGCA
rnacentral:rRNA from 1 species